AUUGAACGCUGGCGGCAUGCCUUACACAUGCAAGUCGAACGGCAGCACGGGUGCUUGCACCUGGUGGCGAGUGGCGAACGGGUGAGUAAUACAUCGGCACGUACCUUAUCGUGGGGGAUAACGCAGCGAAAGCUGUGCUAAUACCGCAUACGCCCUGAGGGGGAAAGCGGGGGAUCGCAAGACCUCGCGCGCUUAGAGCGGCCGAUGCCUGAUUAGCUAGUUGGUGGGGUAAAAGCCCACCAAGGCGACGAUCAGUAGCUGGUCUGAGAGGACGAUCAGCCACACUGGGACUGAGACACGGCCCAGACUCCUACGGGAGGCAGCAGUGGGGAAUUUUGGACAAUGGGGGCAACCCUGAUCCAGCAAUGCCGCGUGAGUGAAGAAGGCCUUCGGGUUGUAAAGCUCUUUUGUCAGGGAAGAAACACCGGCUCUAACACAGUCCGGGAAUGACGGUACCUGAAGAAUAAGCACCGGCUAACUACGUGCCAGCCGCCGCGGUAA
rnacentral:rRNA from 1 species